AAACCAGCACCUCAAGUGGUCAGGAGGAUUAUUGGGCCUAAAGCAUCCGUAGCCUGUUCUAUAAGUUUCCGGUUAAAUCCAUUAGCUCAACUAAUGGGCCGCCGAAAAUACUGUAGAACUAGGGAGUGGGAGAGGUAGACGGUAUUCGGUAGGAAGGGGUAAAAUCCUUUGAUCUAUUGAGGACCACCUGUGGCGAAGGCGGUCUACCAGAACACGUUCGACGGUGAGGGAUGAAAGCUGGGGGAGCAACCCGGAUUAGAAACCCCAGUAGUCC
rnacentral:rRNA from 1 species